rnacentral:rRNA from 1 species
UACGUAGGUGGCAAGCGUUGUCCGGAUUUAUUGGGUUUAAAGGGUGCGUAGGCGGCUUUGUAAGUCAGUGGUGAAAUAUGGCAGCUCAACUGUCAGGGUGCCAUUGAUACUGCAGAGCUUGAGUACAGAUGAGGUAGGCGGAAUUGACGGUGUAGCGGUGAAAUGCUUAGAUAUCGUCAAGAACACCGAUAGCGAAGGCAGCUUACUGGGCUGUAACUGACGCUGAGGCACGAA